rnacentral:rRNA from 1 species
GAUGAACGCUAGCUACAGGCUUAACACAUGCAAGUCGAGGGGAAACGACAUCGAAAGCUUGCUUUUGGUGGGCGUCGACCGGCGCACGGGUGAGUAACGCGUAUCCAACCUGCCCACCACUUGGGGAUAACCUUGCGAAAGUAAGACUAAUACCCAAUGAUAUCCCACGAAGGCAUCCGAAUGGGAUUAAAGAUUUAUCGGUGAUGGAUGGGGAUGCGUCUGAUUAGCUUGUUGGCGGGGUAACGGCCCACCAAGGCGACGAUCAGUAGCCGGUCUGAGAGGAUGAACGGCCACAUUGGGACUGAGACACGGCCCAGACUCCUACGGGAGGCAGCAGUGGGGAAUAUUGCACAAUGGGCGAAAGCCUGAUGCAGCAACGCCGCGUGAGGGAAGACGGUCUUCGGAUUGUAAACUGCUUUUAUGCGGGGAUAAAGUGAGGGACGUGUCCCUUUUUGUAGGUACCGCAUGAAUAAGGACCGGCUAAUUCCGUG